UAAUGGUACUGCCCGUCUUUACCUCCCAUUCAGCAGUUUCAAACCAAUGGAAAUGCACUGAUGGGAUGUGCAGUGGAAACGCUAAGUCACAGCUUGAACCAGUGAUUGAGCACCUAGUGGGAAGGCAGGGCCAACUCAAAGGACCUCAGGUGCGUGCAAUGUACCGCAGUGACUGGAAGGGGUGGAGCCAGGAUUCACCGCCUCCCAGACCUCAUUUAAGGGUUGGCAGUGGAAGUGAGGAUAUUUUGCUGGAGAUCCCUGCCUACCUGAGCCUAUCUGAAGACUUCCCUGGGCCUGCUACCUGAGACCUGCUGCUUCCUCCCGGGCUUACUCUGCGGCUUCUUCCUGAACCCACCCAGUAACUGCACCCUCUUGUUGCCCAAGACCGGCCUCGCUGCUCCUGCCCUUCGGCCUCGAACCAUCAGAACGUCAUGCAAUGGGACUACUGCCGGAUCCUGGUGGAAAAUUGUGAUUAGUUAAACCAUUUGAUUCCAGUAUGUGUAUGGGAACUGUUGAAUCACGG
ensembl:lncRNA